rnacentral:lncRNA from 1 species
UUAUUCUUGUUAGCCUAUAAUUCUUCAAUUCUAUGAGUAAAUUGUUUUGAUGACUCUCUUUAGGCAAUAAUUCUUUUUAUUUUUUUUUUCUUCUUGAGAGCUGGGUGAUGAAUUAGAAAUAAUGUUUAAGCAUACUUUAAUUAUAAUUUUCAGGUGAAAUUCCACACGAGCUAGGAAACCUUGCAGAAUUGGAGACGUUAUCUCUACAAAAUAAUUCCUUAACUGGAACCAUUCCCUCCUCAAUCUUCAAACUUUCGUCUCUACUGUAUUUGGAUUUCUCAAACAAUAACUUGAGAGGUAUACUUCCCAAAUGACAUUCAUGUGUGACAUCAUCAUAAAAUAUUUUAUAUGAAAUCACUAAUUAUCUUUAAAUAAUUGAAAACCCCACCACUAACAAAUAAUUUCUUAACAAACACUAUACCAAAAGAAAUUGGCAACUUUACUAAUCCUAAGUGGUUAUAUCUUCAAACAACAGACUCUUAAAUAUGUACCAUGACAAAAUUUUUAUCGAAAUAAAUUUUCAGUCAUAACUUGUCAUAUUUUCUCUUAACCAAUGAUGUUUAAUCUUAGAAUAUCUUAAAGGUUAUUAGGAAUAAUAAGAAUUAUUGAUUUUCUCAUAUAAAAAAUUUAACGUUUAGCAUUUCAAUAGGAAAACUUGAAGGAAAGGUAGAGAACUUAGAAUCUCUAUGUUACCGAUGGAGAAAUUUGAAAGGAAAUUAUCUUACUGGAAAGGGCAAAUUUGAAAGGGUAAUUUUCAUACUACCCCCUCGUGAGAUGAUAAUCUUCGUAAUAUCCCUCAAACUAUUGUAAACUUUGUUUACUCUCAUUUUUGUUAAAAAGAUAAGGGAAAAAUGAGGGUGGGUUGAAUAUAUAUAUAAUGUUUUUAAGCUGAGGUAAUUUAUAAUAACUUGGGGAUAUUUUGAAGAUUGUUUUUUCAUAAAGAGGGUAAUUCAAAAUUAAUCUAUUUGAAAAGACUUGACAAUUUGUUGGAUGCUAUUGAAAUAAGUUAAAUAUUAGACGAAUACAGUACACAUAAUUUACUUAUAUAUCUUGCUAUGUGUAUAUCUAUUGCUUCUGCUUCAAUUUAGUUUCAUUUCUUACUAGCACCACACUACAUAUAUAUUUUACAUGAGUAAUGAUAGAGGCACAACCACCUUAUACAAAUAAAUGUGUAUAAACUAAUGUAACAAGAGGAUAUUGGUUGUAUAAAACUAUUAUGAGCUCGCAUAAUUGAAAAAAUAACUGCUAUCACUUUUCAACCAGCCUCUUCAUAAUGCCAUAUCAGUUUGUACAUACUAGUUUAUAGAAAACUGGUUGUGAGUCUACUAUUAUUGAUUUUACAUACUUAAUUUUUACAAAUAUUAUUAUAGUACAAAUAAUUUUAUUACAUGUCUCUAAUAACUUCUCGGGAGUGUACACAAUAUGUUAAGGACAAAUGGGGGCGCAUUGAUGAAAACAUUUUCAACUUUUCAAUGUUAAUUAGUGGUAAAUUGAAGUUUAAAGUAGUUUAGAGGUAUUUUGAGGAUAAUUAAUUUAUUAGGGAAGUACACCAAAAUGAAUCGUAAAAUAUUUUACAUGGAAUUACCAAUUAUCAUUAAAUAAUUGGAGUUUAAUUAACUAACGCAAUUAAUAAUGUUUUACUUUUAUUCUUGUUAGCCCUUCAAUUCUAUGAGUAAAUUGUUUUGAUGACUCUAUUUAGGCAAUAAUUCUUUUUAUUUUUUUUUCUUCUUGAGAGCUGGGUGAUGAAUUAGAAAUAAUGUUUACGCAUACUUUAAUUAUAAUUUUCAGGUGAAAUUCCACACGAGCUAGGAAACCUUGCAGAAUUGGAGACGUUAUCUCUACAAAAUAAUUCCUUAACCGGAACCAUUCCUUCCUCAAUCUUCAAACUUUCGUCUCUAUUGUAUUUGGGUUUCUCAAACAAUAGCUUGAGAGGUAUGCUUCCCAAAUGACAUUCAUGUGUGACAUCAUCAUAAAAUAUUUUAUAUGAAAUCCCUAAUUAUCUUUAAAUAAUUGAAAACCCCACCACUAACAAAUAAUUUCUUAACAAACACUAUACCAAAAGAAAUUGGCAACUUUACUAAUCCUAAGUGGUUAUAUCUUCAAACAACAGACUCUUAAAUAUGUACCAUGACAAAAUUUUUAUCGAAAUAAAUUUUCAGUCAUAACUUGUCAUAUUUUCUCUUAACCAAUGAUGUUUAAUCUUAGAAUAUCUUGAAGGUUAUUAGGAAUAAUAAGAAUUAUUGAUUUUCUCAUAUAAAAAAUUUAACGUUUAGCAUUUCAAUAGGAAAACUUGAAGGAAAGGUAGAGAACUUAGAAUCUCUAUGUUACCGAUGGAGAAAUUUGAAAGGAAAUUAUUUUACUGGAAACGGUAAAUUUCAUACUAUCCCCUCGUGAGAUGAUAAUCUUCGUAAUAUCCCUCAAACUAUUGUAAACUUUGUUUACUCUCAUUUUUGUUAAAAAGAUAAGGGAAAAAUGAGGGUGGGUUGAAUAUAUAUAUAAUGUUUUUAAGCUGAGGUAAUUUAUAAUAACUUGGGGAUAUUUUGAAGAUUGUUUUUUCAUAAAGAGGGUAAUUCAAAAUUAAUCUAUUUGAAAAGACUUGACAGUUUGUUGGGUGCUAUUGAAAUAAGUUAAAGAUUAGAUGAAUACAGUACACAUAAUUUACUUAUAUAUCUUGCUAUGUGUAUAUCUAUUGCUUCUGCUUCAAUUUAGUUUUAUUUCUUACUAGCACCACACUACAUAUAUAUUUUACAUGAGUAAUGAUAGAGGCACAACCACCUUAUACAAAUAAAUGUGUAAAAAUUAAUGUAAUAAGAGGAUAUUGGUUGUAUAAAACUAUCAUGGGCUCGCAUAAUUUAAAAAAUAACUGCUAUCACUUUUCAACCAACCUUUUCAUAAUGCCAUAUCAGUUUGUACAUACUAGUUUGUAGAAAAUUGGUUGUGAGUCUACUAUUAUUGAUUUUACAUACUUAAUUUUUACAAAUAUUAUUAUAGUACAAAUAAUUUUAUUACAUGUCUCUAAUAACUUUUCAGGAGUGUACACAAUAUGUUAAGGACAAAUGGGGGGCGCAUUGAUGAAAAACUUUUCAACUUUUCAAUGUUAAUUAGGGGUAAAUUGAAGUUUAAAGUAGUUUAGAGGUAUUUUGAGGAUAAUUAAUUUAUUAAGGAAGUACACCAAAAUGAACCGUAAAAUAUUUUACAUGGAACUCAUAUAAUUGAGAUCCUCAUCAGUAGUGGGUUCUAGAGCUUUAGAUAGGUGGAUGUGAGCUGACAGGGGUGUUGUAACAGGUUUAGAGUCUUCCAUCUUAAACAUGGCUAAUACUUUCUUCACAUAGUCUGCUUGGGAUAGAUACAGAGUCCUGGAGUUCCUAUCUCUUAUUAUAUGCAUGCCUAGAAUUUUUGUAGCUGCACCCAAAUCCUUCAUUUCAAAUUCAGUGCUAAGCUCCACCUUAAGCUUCUUUAUUUCUUCCUUGUGUUUACAUGCAAUAAGCAUGUCAUCCACAUAUAGAAGCAAGUAGAUACCCCAAUCACUUGAUAAGAGUUUAUAAUACACACAGUUGUCAAAUUUGCUUCUGCUGUAUCCAUGGCUUAUCAUGAACUCAUCAAACUUCAAAUACCAUUGCCUUGGAGAUUGCUUGAGGCCAUACAAGCUCUUCUUCAAUAAGCACACCUUGUCUUCUGAUCCUCUCUCAAUGAACCCUUCUGGCUGUGCCAUGAAAAUUUCUUCAUCAAGGCUGCCAUGUAAGAAUGCAGUUUUAACAUCCAUCUGUUCCAGCUCCAGAUCAUGAUAUGCUGAGAGUGCCAACAACAACCUAAUGGAGCUGUAUUUAACCACAGGUGAGAAUACUUCAUUGAAGUCAACUCCUUCUCUUUGUGUGAAUCCUUUUGCCACAAGUCUGGCUUUGUGUCUUGGUGAUUCCUUUUCUGAAGCUCCAGCUUUUAAUUUGAAAAUCCACUUGCUGCCAACUAGUUUCUUGUUAGGUGGUCUGUUGACUAAGGUCCAGGUAUUAUUCUUCUUGAGAGAGAUUAUUUCAUCAUGCAUUGCAGCAUACCAUUUCAGUUUAUCUCCACAACUCAUAGCUUCUUUAUAGCUCAAAGGCUCUCCACCAUUUACUUCAUCAGCCACUGUCAGUGCAUAGGAGAUAAGGUCAGCAAUGCCAUACUUCUUUGGCAUUUUAAUGGCUCUUCUCUCCCUAUCCCUAGCAAGUUGAUAUGUUUCCAAAUCUGAUGGUUUCUUUUCUUCUUUGGAUUGUUCUGAUGGCUCCUCAGAAGGCUUACAGUUAUCAGAAUGGUCCACCUUUUGUCCAGCACUUUCUAUCUCCUCUGUUUCAGCAGCUUCAAUUUCAGUUUCCACUUUUGAAUGAAGCAUUUGCUCUUCAUCAAAGGUGACAUCCCUACUGAUUACAAUCCUAGAUGGUUUGCCUUUGAGAGUCCAUAUUUUAUAUCCCUUAAUGCCCUCAGGAUAACCCAAAAAAUACCCUUUGACAGCCCUUGGUUCAAGCUUACCUUGCUUUAUGUGUGCAUAAGCUGUACACCCAAAGAUCCUCAGAUUACUCAAGUCUGGUGGCUUCCCUGACCAAAGUUCCUGAGGUGUCAUGAAGCCUAGAGCUGAGGAUGGACUUCUGUUUAUCAGAUAGGCUGCUGUAGUGACUGCUUCAGCCCAAAAACCUUUGGGUAGAUUUGCAUUCAACAACAUACAUCUUACCCUCUCUAUUAAGAUUCUGUUCAUUCUUUCUGCCAUCUCAUUUUGCUGUGGAGUGUAGGUGACAGUUCUAUGCCUUGCAAUGCCCUUGGAUUUGCAGAAAUCUUCAAAUUCUUUGUUGCAAUACUCCAGCCCAUUGUCUGUCCUGAGCCUUUUAAUUUUCUUAUCAGUUUGAUUCUCUAUAAGAGUUAUCCACUCCUUAAACUUCUCUAGUGUUUCAUUUUUGUGUUUUAGCACAUAAAUCUAAACCUUCCUUGAGAAGUCAUCUAUAAAGGACACAAAGUACCUAGCUCCACCUAAAGAUGGAACUUGAGAUGGUCCCUAGAGGUCUGAAUGGAUGUAAUCUAGAGUCUGCUUGGUCUCUUUUCUCCCCAAGCUGAAUUUUAGUCUUGUGGCCUUUCCAAACACACAUUUCUCACAGAAUUUUAAAGUAGAGACCUUGUCAUUUCCCAACAAACCUUGAUUGCUUAACUCUCUGAGACCUCUUUCACUGAUAUGAGCUAAUCUAAUAUGCCAGAGCUUGGUUUUAUCUCUGGUCACACUUGCUGAGAUCCCAUGCACAGGUGAGGAUCCAACAAGUAUGUACAGCCCAUUUUUUCUAACCCCUUUCAUUACAAUUCUACCCUGAUCUGAGACAUGUAUCUCUCCUUUUUCAGCCUUAAUUGUACACCCUGAUUGGUCAACCAUUCCUAGAGAUAUCAAGUUUCUUUUCAAUUCAGGAACAUAUCUAACUUGGUGCAAAUCUCUAUUGACACCAUCAAACAUUUUUAAGCUGAUGGUUCCUAUUCCAGCUACCUUACAAGCUAGGUUAUUUCCUAAUAGCACCUUGCCACCAUUUACAUGUUCAAAGGUCUUAAAGAAACUUUUAUUCGGACACAUGUGGAAUGAACAACCAGAGUCCAAGAUCCACUCACCAGUUGGGUGCCUCUCUGCAGCCACCAGGACAUCUGCUUCAUCAUAGUCACAUUCAUCUUCAGAGGCAACAACAGCCUUCCCAUUUGAUUUCUUUUGCAGUUCCUCUAGUUUCUUUUUCUCAAAACAAUCCUUAAUGUAGUGCCCCUCCUUUUGACAGAAGUAACACUUCCCCUUCUUCUUCUUCUUUUCAGCUUUAUCUUUCUGGCUAUUGUUCUUCUUCUGCUUGUUGUAUUUCUUUUCUAGCUUUCCUUUGGCAACAAGACCUUCUGCAUUGCUUUGAUCUUUCAAUUCUGCCCUUUUCUUCAAAUCUUUAGAUUCCAGAGCAUCUUUGACAUCCUUCAAUGAGAGGGUUUGUCUGCCAUAGAGAAAAGUGUCUACAAAGUGUUCAUAGGAUUCUGGAAGGGAACUUAACAGAAUGAGUGCCCUAUCUUCAUCUUCAAGAAUUAUGUUGACAUUCUCGAGAUCAAGAAUGAGUUUAUUGAACUCAUCCACAUGAUCUUUCAUGGCCACUCCAUCUUUCAUAGAGAAUGUGUAUAAUCUCCUCUUCAUGUACAGCCUCUUUGCUAAUGAUUUCUUUAGAAACAUUUCUUCUAGCUUGCCCCACAACCCAGAUGCAGUUCUUUCUCUGGAUACCUCUCUCAAGACUUCAUCAGAGAGAUGCAAGAUAAUCGUGCUAUGAACUUUGUUGUUUAUGAUUCUCUGAUCUGCACCAAAGCUCGAAGAACCUUCUGUUUUCUCUUUCUUGGCCAUUGGAUCUUCUCCAUCAUCGAGGGCACUAUCAAGCAAUUGUUGAAUUAAAAUUGCUCUCAUCUUUAAACUCCAGAGAUAGAAGUCAUUAUCUCCAUUGAACUUUUCAAGGUCAACUCUGGUGCUAGCCAUUGUGAAUCUUGGUCCCAACCAAUACCAAGCUCGGAUACCAGUUUGUUGUGUUAAACGAGCUUAUACUAGACUCUUUGUGCUAGAACUAAGCAACCCAAGAUGAUUGAAUUAACAAAUACAAGAUUAAGAAUGGAAAAAACAAAGAAAUACAGAACAAUAAAGAACUCGCAAUCAAGCCAAGAAUCUAACGUGGUUCAGCUCCACAAAGGAACCUACAUCCACGGCUACAAAUGCCAGCAAAGGGCAGGAGAUUUAUUGAACCAGAAUGGUUGAUUACAAUGACUUCGCAAUACAGAUUACAAACUCUCAAAGCUUAACUUUUUCUCUCUGUAAUGCAGCUGUAAAAGCUUCUUCUGCUUGAGCUUCAGGAACCAGCAUAUUUAUAUUGCUUCUUCCACACGUGUGUUUCCACUAAUUGAACUAAGCUGUUAUUACUAACUGCUUAUUAAAUUGGAUCUCACAAACUCCAGCUCAUCAGCCACCUCAGCAAGUUCAUAACAGAUUAUAACUAACUUUUGGCUUCACAAAUCUCCACCUUAGUUUUAAUCUGUUUCUACUUCUCCCUUCACUGUUACAGCACCAGUAAGCUUGUUUCACAAGCUAAAACUUCCAACCAGAUUCAGUAAGUCCCUGAACCUGACUGAUGGCAAAGGGUUGGUUAACAUGUCAGCUGGAUUGACUUCAGAUGGCACCUUAACCACAUUUACCACUCCUUUGCUGAUUUCAUCCCUUAUGAAAUGCAUUCUAACAUCAAUAUGUUUAGUUCUCUCAUGAUAUUUAGGAUUCUUACUUAGCUGAAUAGCACUUGAGCUAUCACAGCUAUUUGUUGGAUGCUAUUGAAAUAAGUUAAAUAUUAGACGAAUACAGUACACAUAAUUUACUUAUAUAUCUUGCUAUGUGUAUAUCUAUUGCUUCUGCUUCAAUUUAGUUUCAUUUCUUACUAGCACCACACUACAUAUAUAUUUUACAUGAGCAAUGAUAGAGGCACAACCACCUUAUACAAAUAAAUGUGUAUAAACUAAUGUAACAAGAGGAUAUUGGUUGUAUAAAACUAUCACGGGCUCGCAUAAUUAAAAAAAUAACUGCUAUCACUUUUCAACCAACCUCUUCACAAACCCAUAUCAGUUUGUACAU